rnacentral:rRNA from 1 species
GAUUAACGCUGGCGGCGUGCAUAACACAUGCAAGUCGAACGAUGAAGCUUAGAUGAUUUCUUCGGAAUGACCUUAAGUGGAUUAGUGGCGAACGGGUGAGUAACGCGUGAGUAACCUGCCUUACACAAGGGGAUAGCCUCUGGAAACGGAGAAUAAUACCCUAUGAAACUAUCUUAUCGCAUGAAUAGAUAGUCAAAGUGUUUUAGCGGUGUAAGAUGGACUUGCGUCUGAUUAGCUAGUUGGUGAGAUAACAGCCCACCAAGGCAACGAUCAGUAGCCGGCUUGAGAGAGUGUACGGCCACAUUGGGACUGAGACGCGGCCCAGACUCCUACGGGAGGCAGCAGUGGGGAAUUUUGCACAAUGGGGGCAACCCUGAUGCAGCGACGCCGCGUGAUUUAGAAGGCCUUCGGGUUGUAAAAAUCUUUUGUAUAGGAAGAAAAUGACAGUACUAUACGAAUAAGGUCCGGCUAAUUACGUGCCAGCAGCCGCGGUAAUACGUAAGGACCGAGCGUUGUCCGGAAUCAUUGGGCGUAAAGGGUACGUAGGCGGUUAGAAAAGUUAGAAGUGAAAGGCUAUAGCUCAACUAUAGUAAGCUUUUAAAACUGUUUAACUUGAGAGAUGGAAGGGAAAGUGGAAUUCCUAGUGUAGCGGUGAAAUGCGCAGAUAUUAGGAGGAAUACCGGUGGCGAAGGCGACUUUCUGGCCAUUAUCUGACGCUGAGGUACGAAAGCGUGGGUAGCAAACAGG